rnacentral:rRNA from 1 species
CAGCCGCCGCGGUAAUACGAAGGGGGCUAGCGUUGUUCGGAUUUACUGGGCGUAAAGCGCGCGUAGGCGGAUCGAUCAGUCAGGGGUGAAAUCCCAGAGCUCAACUCUGGAACUGCCUUUGAUACUGUCGAUCUGGAGUAUGGAAGAGGUGAGUGGAAUUCCGAGUGUAGAGGUGAAAUUCGUAGAUAUUCGGAGGAACACCAGUGGCGAAGGCGGCUCACUGGUCCAUUACUGACGCUGAGGUGCGAAAGCGUGUGGAGCAAACAGGAUUAGAUACCCCCGUAGUCCCUGUCUCUUAUAA